AUGAUGUGGUUUAAUUCGAUGCAACGCGAAAACCUUACCCACCUUUGACAUGUACGGAAUCCUUUAGAGAUAGAGGAGUGCUCGAAAGAGAACCGUAACACAGGUGCUGCAUGGCUGUCGUCAGCUCGUGUCGUGAGAUGUUGGGUUAAGUCCCGCAACGAGCGCAACCCUUGUCAUUAGUUGCUACAUUCAGUUGGGCACUUUAAUGAGACUGCCGGUGACAAACCGGAGGAAGGUGGGGAUGACGUCAAGUCCUCAUGGCCCUUAUAGGUGGGGCUACACACGUCAUACAAUGGAUGGUACAAAGGGUCGCCAACCCGCGAGGGGGAGCCAAUCCCAUAAAGCCAUUCGUAGUCCGGAUCGCAGUCUGCAACUCGACUGCGUGAAGUCGGAAUCGCUAGUAAUCGUGGAUCAGAAUGUCACGGUGAAUACGUUCCCGGGUCUU
rnacentral:rRNA from 1 species